rnacentral:tRNA from 1 species
UGAUGUAGCUCAGUUGGUAGAGCAGCGCAUUCGUAAUGCGCAGGUCAUAGGUUCAAAUCCUACCAUCA